AAGAACUUAGGAUAGCAUUAAGACCAAAAGCCUUCAAAGCUUUAAGCAGGAGUGAAAAUCUCCUAGUUUUUG
rnacentral:tRNA from 2 species